GAAAAUAGUAAAAAUAAAGAAAAACCCUUGAAUGAGUAGGUGUGUCCAAACCUUUGACUGUAUGUAUUGUAUGUCAAAGUGUUACAAAUACAUACGUCUAAAACAAUGUAUUUUGAAAGCACUGUUUGUAUUUAUGGGUGUCCCUAACCUUGCCAACAGACAAAGAGCUGUGAGUGGUUCACCAAUCAGGGCCUUGAUAGGCUCGGCAAGGGGUGAAGUGUAAUGAAACAAGUUUUUUGGGAGAACGUCCCAUUGGGACCAUCAGUACGGAAAAAGAAAUGUAUGCAUUCACUACUGUAAGUCGCUCUGGAUAAGCUCGUCUGCUAAAUGACUAAAAUGUAAAUGUAAACCAGGCAACUUCUUAAACGCUUCUUUAGGGACGUCACCAAAACAAGCCGGAAAAUAGACAAAAACCUUCAGGGGACCAUGACAGAAUGUCCUAUGUUUUAAACGUACUUGGACACAUGAAUGUUCUUGCAACGUUCCCAUGAAACGUGUCUAGAACAUUAAUAUAUUUCUGAGAAAAUGGUAAGCAUGUUCUGGGUACGUUUUGUUUGACAUUAAGGAAAUGUUCUCCUAACUCUCACUCCAAAACAUGCUAAAUAGGUUCUAAGGAGGUUUUUGUUAACAUACAUAGAAUGUUCCCCCAACUAACGAAAAACUGGACACUCAAACAUCAGGGGAACAUUACUGGUAACAAUGCAAAAAUGUUCGCUGUCCCUAGAAUUGUUAGCUGGGUUUGUUUUCUCAGACAUGUUUGUGUCAUCACGGGCAAUGUGGAAUCCAGACUGUGAUUGAUUUUGCAAAAUGGUUUAAACUACAACUCUACCAAAGGACAAGACCAGACAACAUGGAGAGCAUCCCAACGCUGAAAUGGUUAAGAAAUCUACAAAUUAAAGACCAAUUAUUCAGUCUGCAGCUGUUUAAACACUUUAGUCUGGUAAAAGCAUCCGAUCUAAGAACAAUGGUACUCUGAAAGAUACAUUCUCAAGAACAUUUCCGAAUGGUACUCUGACAUAUCCAUUAUAACAAGCUACAACUACGAAAGUCUUUGAUCUCUGGUGGACAAACCAGAGACUUUCUGUCAACUGACUAUCCAGCAGACGGACCGGCGAUCGCAGAGGGACAACAAAGGCAUACACUUGUAAAUAUGUACAUUUCAAUAUGCAAUUUCUUUUCGAAUGAGUGGUUGUUCAUGUUCAAAGUAUUAGCAUUUCCAUGAGUGUAGUUAUCGACUGUAUGGACGUGGGUCCACUCUGAGUUUCCCGCUCUUGAGCUGGCCCCACCCCUGUCCUUUGUCUACCAAGCCCAACAAGCUAGCUGACGCACCCCCGGUUCCAUCGACGACUGCACCAACAACAAACAAGGCCUCCCUGAAGCUUCCAAUUUUGGUGUCUGCAUUCUGUGAAGGUUGACGCUGGAGACAGGAAGCAGAUACAGGGAGAAUAUUUAAUAAAUAAUGGACAUAAAACAGGACAGGAACAGCAUCUGGACAGGGGACAAAGUAACAACAUCAAUGCUGACAAAGGAAUGCAACAGAGGAAACAGACAGAUAAAGGGGAGGCAAUCAAAUAAUGAUUUCAGGGAAGGCUGUGUUGGAAGGUCUGGGCUCCCACUGGAGAGGAACUCCUCCUCCAGCAUUGACAGAGAAGGUGGGAGCGUUUCAGAGUGCUUAUUGUAGCUGUAGCACUCCUAAUCAAAAGUUCCUAGGGACCCACAUAGUGUGCAGGUUCUUGUUCCAGCCCAGCACUGAGUUAGCGAAUCAAGGGCUUAGCGAAAAGUUGAUUGAAUCAGGACUGGGGCAAAGGAUGCUGAUUGUAAAACCUAUAAGUUCCUGAAAGAAACCUGCAGAGAAAGGGAGAAGAGACAGGAUGUCACCUCCACAGCAAGCAGAGUUGCAAUUGGGUGAAAAGGAAAUAUUAAAGAACCUGAGAGCCCAGACAGUGUGGAGGGUAAUUGAUUCAUAAUGGAUUUGUAAGGAAGACCGCCGC
rnacentral:lncRNA from 1 species